UCACCAAGUGUUGGAUUGU
rnacentral:snRNA from 1 species